GACAGAGGAGCCAAGCGUUGUCCGGAUUGACUGGGCGUAAAGCGCACGCAGGCGGCCCGGCGCGUGGGGUGUGAAAGCUGGCGGCUUAACUGCCAGACGCCAUCCCAUACGGCUGGGCUCGAGCCCUGCAGACGGUCCAUGGAAUUGCCGGUGUAGUGGUGAAAUGCGUAGAGAUCGGCAGGAACACCCAGGGGGAAACCGAGUGGACU
rnacentral:rRNA from 1 species